rnacentral:rRNA from 2 species
UCCGUAGGUGAACCUGCGGAAGGAUCAUUAAUG